rnacentral:rRNA from 1 species
AUGAACGCUGGCGGCGUGCUUAACACAUGCAAGUCGAACGAAGCACUUAUCUUUGAUUCUUCGGAUGAAGAGAUUUGUGACUGAGUGGCGGACGGGUGAGUAACGCGUGGGUAACCUGCCUCAUACAGGGGGAUAACAGUUAGAAAUGACUGCUAAUACCGCAUAAGACCACAGAGCCGCAUGGCUCGGUGGGAAAAACUCCGGUGGUAUGAGAUGGACCCGCGUCUGAUUAGGUAGUUGGUGGGGUAACGGCCUACCAAGCCAACGAUCAGUAGCCGACCUGAGAGGGUGACCGGCCACAUUGGGACUGAGACACGGCCCAAACUCCUACGGGAGGCAGCAGUGGGGAAUAUUGCACAAUGGGGGAAACCCUGAUGCAGCGACGCCGCGUGAGCGAAGAAGUAUUUCGGUAUGUAAAGCUCUAUCAGCAGGGAAGAAAAUGACGGUACCUGACUAAGAAGCACCGGCUAAAUACGUGCCAGCAGCCGCGGUAAUACGUAUGGUGCAAGCGUUAUCCGGAUUUACUGGGUGUAAAGGGAGCGUAGACGGCUGUGUAAGUCUGAAGUGAAAGCCCGGGGCUCAACCCCGGGACUGCUUUGGAAACUAUGCAGCUAGAGUGUCGGAGAGGUAAGUGGAAUUCCCAGUGUAGCGGUGAAAUGCGUAGAUAUAUGGAGGAACACCAGUGGCGAAGGCGACGGUCUGGGCCGCAACUGACGCUCAUUCCCGAAAGCGUGGGGAGCAAAUAGGAUUAGAUACCCUAGUAGUCCACGCCGUAAACGAUGGUCACUAAGUGUCGGGGGUCAAACCCCGGUGCUGCAGUCAACGCAAUAAGUGACCCGCCUGAGUAGUACGUUCGCAAGAAUGAAACUCAAAGGAAUUGACGGGGACCCGCACAAGCGGUGGAGCAUGUGGUUUAAUUCGAAGCAACGCGAAGAACCUUACCUGCUCUUGACAUCCCGGUGACCGGCGUGUAAUGACGCCUUUUCUUCGGAACACCGGUGACAGGUGGUGCAUGGUUGUCGUCAGCUCGUGUCGUGAGAUGUUGGGUUAAGUCCCGCAACGAGCGCAACCCUUAUCUUCAGUAGCCAGCAUUUUGGAUGGGCACUCUGGAGAGACUGCCAGGGAUAACCUGGAGGAAGGUGGGGAUGACGUCAAAUCAUCAUGCCCCUUAUGAGCAGGGCUACACACGUGCUACAAUGGCGUAAACAAAGGGAAGCGAGCCUGCGAGGGUAAGCAAAUCUCAAAAAUAACGUCUCAGUUCGGAUUGUAGUCUGCAACUCGACUACAUGAAGCUGGAAUCGCUAGUAAUCGCGAAUCAGCAUGUCGCGGUGAAUACGUUCCCGGGUCUUGUACACACCGCCCGUCACACCAUGGGAGUUGGUAACGCCCGAAGUCAGUGACCCAACCGUAAGGAGGGAGCUGCCGAAGGUGGGACCGAUAACUGGGGUG